rnacentral:rRNA from 1 species
AACGAACGCUGGCGGCAUGCCUAACACAUGCAAGUCGAACGAGACCUUCGGGUCUAGUGGCGCACGGGUGCGUAACGCGUGGGAACCUGCCCUUAGGUUCGGAAUAACUCCCCGAAAGGGGGUGCUAAUACCGGAUAAUGUCUUCGGACCAAAGAUUUAUCGCCUUUGGAUGGGCCCGCGUUGGAUUAGCUAGUUGGUAGGGUAAAAGCCUACCAAGGCGACGAUCCAUAGCUGGUCUGAGAGGAUGAUCAGCCACACUGGGACUGAGACACGGCCCAGACUCCUACGGGAGGCAGCAGUGGGGAAUAUUGGACAAUGGGCGAAAGCCUGAUCCAGCAAUGCCGCGUGAGUGAUGAAGGCCUUAGGGUUGUAAAGCUCUUUUACCCGGGAUGAUAAUGACAGUACCGGGAGAAUAAGCUCCGGCUAACUCCGUG